AGCUUUGUGCAGUGGCAGUGUCAUAGCCAAUGAGGUUUAUCUGAGGCACGAUUAUUGCUAACUGAAAACUUUUCCCAAUACCCCACCAUGACGACUUGAAAUAUAGUCAGUGUUGGCAAUUUUUGGCUGUCUCUAAGGGGA
rnacentral:snRNA from 1 species